rnacentral:rRNA from 1 species
GUGCCAGCCGCCGCGGUAAUACAGAGGGGGCAAGCGUUGUCCGGACUGACUGGGCGUAAAGCGCACGCAGGCGGUCGCGGGCGUCGGUGCUGAAAGGCCACCGCUUAACGGUGGUAGGCGUGCCGAUACGCCGCGACUGGAGCCAUGUAGAGGUCCGUGGAAUUGCCGGUGUAGUGGUGAUAUGCGUAGAUAUCGGCAGGAACACCCAAGGGGAAGCCAACGGACUGGGCAUGGGCUGACGCUCAUGUGCGACAGCGUGGGGAGCAAACUGGAUUAGAUACCCGUGUAGUCC